CAGGGCUCCUGAAACCCUCCCAAAUUCCCAAGUGAUAAGAGCACUGGAGGUGUUUUUUGUUCUAACGAGGCGACACCCUGGGUAGGCACCCGGGUGGCUCUGGGAUGGGCCCGGUCACCGGAAAGAUCCGUGAUUAGAAGCUUGGGAUUUUCAGCCCCACCCACAUCCUGAAGGGUGAGCAGCCUUGUGGGACGGAGCCCUAACCUGCGGGACCUGACGCUACUCCAGUUGGUGUUGCAGAAUUGCUGGGUGUGGGACCGCCCUCUCCCCCAGGCCGGGGUCAGAGUGUGAUGAAGAAACUGAGGCGCCCGACACAGCAAAGACGUGAACCCAGUCUGGAGGGGCCCCCGGAAGGAGUUCUCUCAGGGGCCAACACAGCACACCCCUGGGGCCCCUCCGCCUACCACACCCCAACCAGCGUCCUCACCGGCUUCAAGGUCACAAACACAGGAUGACCCCCCGCCAUCAACG